rnacentral:rRNA from 1 species
UACAGAGGGGGCAAGCGUUGUUCGGAAUUACUGGGCGUAAAGGGCGCGUAGGCGGCCCGCUAAGUCGAACGUGAAAUCCCCGGGCUCAACCCGGGAACUGCGUCCGAUACUGGUGGGCUCGAAUCCGGGAGAGGGAUGCGGAAUUCCAGGUGUAGCGGUGAAAUGCGUAGAUAUCUGGAGGAACACCGGUGGCGAAGGCGGCAUCCUGGACCGGUAUUGACGCUCAUGUGCGAAAGCGUGGGGAGCAAACAGG